AGCCUCCCCUUUUAAAGAUCCAAAAUGGUGAUUUUAAAGUGCGGCAUGCAGUCUGUCAUCAACGAAGAGUUUUGACACCUGUAAUACCCAUAUUUCUACCAUUCACCUCUGUAACCUUUGUUGAGUUCAUCAGACUGUCCAAGACAGGAAGUUGAGGAAUAAAGUUGACAGGACAUCCUGAACUGUCCUCGCUACCAGCUUAUGAGGGAACCAGCUGCAGUGGACAAAGUACGUUACAUCAUAGGAUAAUAGCAUUGAAUUGGAUUCUUGAACCAGAGCCAUGUGAACCUGGUCCACCUGUACCUCUCAUUGAAGACCUGUUAACAUCACCAGAGUAUGUUCAUUCUGAUACCCCUAUGGUAUGGUUACAGCAUGCAUUAUCCCUGAAUCCAUUAAAAGAGCUGCAUUGGCAACGAAACAACCCAAUGUGGUCGAUUGUAAGGAAAUAUAGCAUAUCAGCUUCCAACUUUGGUGCAGUUCUCAGUUCUAAGCAAAGGCGAUUGACAUUGUCACUGAAGAAACAGCUGAUGUCGGCUUACAAUCUGGAGUCCAUCAAGGCUGUUGCAUGGGGUAUCACUCAUGAAGAUGAUGCUUUGAGAAAGUAUGAAAAGGACUUAGAUGCAGCUGUAGAGCAGUCAGGAUAUGGUUGCAUGAAUCCGGAGUGUUGGGAGCUUCACCUGAUGGCUUAGUUGUUUGACCACCAACAUGCAGUGUAUUUUAUCAAACUCCAGAAGCCAAAGACGCCAUUCCUAAUAUUGUAGAGGUGAAGUGUCCAUAUACAGCAUCGUCUUCAACAGUAGCAGAUGGGGCACAAAAUUUGAAGGAUUUUUCAUAGAUCUUAAACAAGAUACCCUGUGCCUGAAAACCAGUCACCCAUACUAUCAUCAAAUUCAAGGCCAGCUACACAUAUGUAACAAAACAUUCUGCGACUUAAUUGUGUGGACAAGAGUAGACUGCAUUGUGAUUAGAAUAGUAAAAGACAUUGAAUGGACAGCAAAUGUUCCAAAGCUGAUAGAUUUCUACAUUAACAUUUUCAUUCCAGCACUGAUGGAAAACUGAGUUCUGGUUUGAACUUCUUGACACUUAGUUUUGUACCUCUAGAAUUUUCUAACAAUGGAAAAUGGGUAAUCAUGUUAAAUGUGUUGAAUGUUCCUAAGUCUCAUAAAUGUAUGAUAUGAUAUGUCACAAUCCAUCAUAAAACUUCUGGCUUAUAAGACUAUUUUAAAUAGCAAUGAUGAUUAAUAAAAUCUAUGUACUACAUAAAAAAAGAAUAUCAAAAUUUAGAAUCAUUUUAUUAAUGAAUUGAAGAUGUUAUUCUCAAAGUGAAAAUGUAACAUUUUGGUCUUUCUUAAUAGAUAAAUUGUUGAAAACAUGAA